rnacentral:rRNA from 1 species
CACGGGUGCGUAACGCGUGGGAAUCUGCCCCUUGGUUCGGAAUAACAGCUGGAAACGGUUGCUAAUACCGGAUGACGACGAGAGUCCAAAGAUUUAUCGCCGAGGGAUGAGCCCGCGUAGGAUUAGCUAGUUGGUGUGGUAAAGGCGCACCAAGGCGACGAUCCUUAGCUGGUCUGAGAGGAUGAUCAGCCACACUGGGACUGAGACACGGCCCAGACUCCUACGGGAGGCAGCAGUGGGGAAUAUUGGACAAUGGGCGAAAGCCUGAUCCAGCAAUGCCGCGUGAGUGAUGAAGGCCUUAGGGUUGUAAAGCUCUUUUACCCGGGAUGAUAAUGACAGUACCGGGAGAAUAAGCUCCGGCUAACUCCGUGCCAGCAGCCGCGGUAAU